rnacentral:lncRNA from 1 species
UGGAGGAGUUCUACUACCAUACCUUCGUUGUUUGGGGGAGGGGGAUUGCAUGGGAGAUUCUGAUCUAUUCCGAGCACUGAUUGGUGGAACUCGACGCACUGGAGAAGGUGAUCUAUGUCGAGUGACAAGUGAUCUUCGUCGUCUAGGUGAAGGUGAUCUUCGUCGUCUAGGUGAAGGUGAUCUUCGUGGUCCAAGAGGUGAUGGUGAUCUAUGUCUAUGACCGGGUGAUCUCCACAUUCCAAGAGGUGAUGGGGAUCUAUGUCUGUGCCCUGGGGAUGGUGAUCUAUGACGACGACCAAGGGACGGUGAUCUAUGAUGACGAUUAGGAGACGGAGAUCUACGUCGUCGCACCAAAGGAGAUCUAUGUCUUCUCCCAGGAGAAGGAGACCGGCGUCGUCGCACUGGAGAAGGUGACCAACGUCGUCGCACUGGAGAAGGUGAUCUUCGUCGUCGCGUUGGUGAAGGUGACCUUCGUCGUCUUGUUGGUGAAGGUGACCUCCGACGUCGAUAAGAAGGUGAACUUCGAUGCACUGGAGAAUGAAUUCUACGCCGUAUAGGGGUAGGAGAUCUAUAGCUUGAGCGAGAUCCGGAUCUUCUCCUCAAAUAAAGUGACCUCCUAUGGGGAGAACGUCGUGG